AUGUGUUUUUGGUGCAGAGAAGACAACAUUUUCUGUGCAGAAAAUACUUUGCGCAAAAUAUAUUGCCAUUGUGGAUUAGAUUCUGUACCAAAUUUGGAUGUGUUUUUGUGCCGAGAAGACAACAUUUUCUGUGCAGAAAAUACUUUGCGCAAAAUAUAUUGCAAUUGGGGAUUAGAUUCUGUACCAAAUUUGGGUGUGUUUUUUGUGCAGAGAAGACAACAAUUUCUGUGCAGAAAAUAUUUUCUGUGCAGAAAUAUAGUUUUUUUUGUAACAAAGGCACUUUCUGUGCCAAAGAAAAAUUGUACUUUUGUACAGAAUAAGUGAAGAGUCUCAUCCGUCCAGGAUUCUUCUCGUCAGAGUGUCCCAAUAAUUGAUAAAUGAAUUUUGGAAUAUUUUACCAUUCAUAGAUUUCAAUUUUGGAUAGUUAUACGGUUACCGCUUUUCCCUUUCCUAUGUUGUCAGAUGUCUAUGUGAGAGUCACGUCCCUCUGAUUUACGAAGAGCAAAAGAAGUGCAUUGUUUGUUUGGAUAUGUGUUGGUUCUGUUUGGACACUCCUCACCUGUAUAUAAUCAAUAAUAUGCUUGUCAGUAUUUCUCAGCUCUCCUAACUGUAGACACUAAAUUUUAAAUAAUUAGACUAAACCAGUAAUACAUAAACACACAAAAACAUACUAAGGAGAAGAAAACAACACAAGGCUGCUAAAGGAGACUGAAAUACCCUCUUUGGAGCAACAUCUCUCCCUUCCUCCCUUUUAUUGUAUUAUUACUGUAUAUACUUCGUGUUGCCCAGGUGUUGUUGGGGAUGCUGCCUACUUUCUCCCUUCUCCAGCUCUGAGAGGGCCUACCUCACAAUGUCUCCAUGGCAACAAGGCUCUUUCCUACCAUCCGUCCUUCCUUCUUUCCCAGGGACAUCACAGAGGGCCACUUCACCUAGCAACAGCCAAUCUAGUGACAUCACAGAGGGCUACUUCACCUAACAACAGCCUUUGUGGUAGAAACAGACUUUGACUUUUAUAUAUAUAGAGAGAAGAUAACAGAAAUAGUAAUAGGAAGGUUCAUCCAACCUCAGAAUGCAGGGUAGCUGGAGAAAUCAAGCCCAAUCCUGUCAAUCAUCAACAGAGAUUCAUGAAAAGGAUGACUAAUAACGUAAUAAAUACAAUAUAUUUUCUUAGUCUUGUUUCAGACAGCACAUUGAGAUCUGAAUUGUUUGCUCCCUUACACAUCACACAGACUCUACCUCCAGCUAUUUCUGGCUUCAUUUGCCCAAAGACUCCAAGAGAUCAAAUCCAGGUUGUGGUCACCUAGACGGUAUUGACUGCCAAGCAGUAUGUGCUAUUAAUGGGUGAAUUGAAGUUCUUGUGGGCCGUCCUUUGUACAAGGAAUGAUAAUAGCAUUAGCAACCAUUCAGUUGCCAUGCCAUGAGUUCAUACUUGGUAUAGGUAGCCAGGUCUAAUUUAGUGAGUGGAAUUGGACAUUGUUUCCUUGUGACAUCUUACUAUGGAGUAGAGUUGUGCAUGGAAUUUGUUUCUCCUGUUUCCUUCGUUUCUUUCAUUUCUUUGGGAGCACGGAACAGGAAGGCCCCUCUUGCUAUGGAAAUCAGCUUGACACAAAAGCAAAGCAUCACAGAGUAAGAGGUGCUCAACUGCAGGUCCUGGCAGGCAUGCACACUUUCUGGGCCUGCACGCUGCAUGCACACUCUCUUUCCAAUAAUAAUAAUAAUAAUAAUAAACCUUUAUUUAUACCCUGCCACCACGGGGACUCGGGGCAGCUCACAUUGUUACAAGAGUAACAACACAAAUACAUUAGCACAAUAUACACAGGUUAAAACUCAAUAAGGUAAUAAAACAAAAAUUAAUACAACAGUAAUAAUAUCUAACAACCACCAAUACAAUUCAGUCAAACUUCAUAGGUGGGGGGGGGGGGGGACUGCAGCAGCAAUAUAAAGAUAGAAUCGUUAGAUUAAAAUACCCAGAUAAGAGGGACCUAGUAAAAUUCAGAAUAGAAUUAUAAUGAGGCAGGUCAUCCAAUGGCUGUCUCUCCAAAGGCCGACCUUAAACAUCCAAGUUUUCAAUUGUUUCUUAAAUAGAGAGGGCGCCAACCUGAUCUCCCUAGGGUGUCAGCUCUUGAAAGCUAUAGGACUCAAUGCAGGCUCACACAGGCAGUUACGUGGAAACGCUUUAUUGAAGACCUUCUUUUCAAGUUGAAAACAAAGCUAGAACUAACGUAUUCCCGCCAAACCCCGAGUAUAUCUACCUCCUACCUCCCCCCCCCCUUUCCAUAUUCACACAUAUCUGUUAUGUAGUCCCUUCCCAGGCUUGAAAAUCCAGAGCAGGCCAUAAAACCCAUCCUCCUAGACAUAUGGCCCUUAUCAUUUAGAUUAUCUCCCAGCCCCCCAUUGCUCUGACGGGAUGUGGAGAGUUCAGCUGUUAUGAGUACUGGGCUUUCACAUCCUGACAUAGGGAGUGCGUAUGUGGCGUGCAGGAGUGUCUGCGCCUGCCAGGGCCUGCAGCAGAGCACCUUUUACUCUAAACAACAGAUAAGAAGAAGCCUCCUUAAAACACACAUUGGUAAGGAGAGCCAGGGUGGGAAGCCCCCACAUAAUGGGCUGAUAGAAAACAGAUCUCCUGGGCUGCUUUUCAGGAUCACAGAGUAAGAGGUGCUCAGCU
rnacentral:lncRNA from 1 species